rnacentral:rRNA from 1 species
CACGUAGGGUGCGAGCGUUGUUCGGAAUUACUGGGCGUAAAGGGCGCGUAGGCGGCCUGCUAAGUCACACGUGAAAUCCCUCGGCUCAACCGGGGAACUGCGUGUGAUACUGGCGGGCUUGAAUUCGGGAGAGGGAUGUGGAAUUCCAGGUGUAGCGGUGAAAUGCGUAGAUAUCUGGAGGAACACCGGUGGCGAAGGCGCAUCCUGGACCGAGAUUGACGCUGAGGCGCGAAAGGCUAGGGGAGCAAACGGG